ACUUCCACUUUCUACACUCAAAAAAUAAUUCACUUUGAUUGUAUCUGAAUUUUCACGUAAAUGAAUAUUUUCCAUCUUUCAUCGUGCAUUACGUGAUUCCUUUAAAACACAUUUGACAAUCCUGUAGGAAUUAUUUGAUUCACACAUUUACGUGAUACAACGUUGAACGUUAAAACACAGUUCACGUGAAUGUCCUGUGUGAAGCAACGAGAAGAUGGCUGAAAAUUUAUUCUUUGUGGCAGCUAGCGAUAUUUCAUGAGCGGGCGAACAAUGUUAGCAUUGCAGAAGCUGCCACUUCCGCCAACGGAAAAAAAUGUACCAGAAGAAACGGAACCAAGUUGAAAUCGGUUGCCAAGGAACCCUCUGAAAAUAGCAAGCCUGAAGAAAGUAUUCACUGCAACGAUAGGUGAUGGAAGAUAGUCCCUGUUGACGUAAACCCUGCUUCCUUUAAUUCCAAUCAAAGCAAGAUAAACAAAGACGCGGCCAAGAACAGCGGUUUAACAAUAAGAUUUUCAACAAUAUCAUCUGGCAGCUCUGCUCCGUAAUAAACAAAACUUUAUUUUUAUUCCGUUUUGUUACUUGAAGAAAAACAGAGAAAUUUCAUGGUACAAGUUGCUGACACCGGAACACGUUUUUCUAGUGUACUGCUGAUAGCGAAAUUCUAAUCAUGAAUGAAACAAACGGUGGUGUGUAGAUCUUUUUGAGAAUUUUCAAUGACCACGCCGGCAGAAAGCUUUCCUUGGGGGGACACGAGUCGAUCCAAGAAUGUAGGUGAUGAUUCUGAAUGUUGAAUACGACGUUUGAAAAUUACAGCAUCCUGCAGCAAAAGAACGCCAUCUAUAACACCGCUGUUUCGAAGUACUACGGUUUCUGUUGAAGCGUGGAAUGAUAACCGCUACUCUACGAAACACGAUUGGAAUCCCGCCCGAAUGACACAUUCAACACAAACGUGGAAAAUGUACACCAAGAUAGCAUAAACGAUAUUUUCCAAGAGUAUACAAGAUCGAAAUUUGCUUUGCUAUGACAUUAAAGGAUCGUUAUGUAAUGGUUUGGUCCAUGGAGGAAAUUGAAAUCACUGGUGGAGGAAAAAUAACUGGUCCGGAUGUGCAUUGGUCGAAUGUUUACUUGCUGGUUGAUUUGGCGACGUCAUUUCUGCUUGGUGUGCGGAAAAUGUUAAGCUAAAAUGCAUCUAAUUUGCCCCCACUGGCUACAACGGAGGUGUAAAUCAUUUAGAGAUAUCCGUUCUCAAUAUAAAUGAGACUAUUGAUAAAAGCGUACGUAGAAAAGCGACUUUAAAUCAUCCAACAGAUGCGAGAAUUGCUCGAAAAUUAGAAUGAUAUUUCACUGUUUAUAUGUAAAAGAUUGAUAAUGAAAAAUCAUCCCGAGUCGUUUUCUUAGAUGACAAAAAGUAUGCUUGUGAGAUUGACGAUCUUUUGCACCUGCAAAAAGUGUAGAACCAAAUACAAAUAUGAUGGAACUCUUCUACACCUUCGAAGAUCCAAAUGAAGCAAACAUAAAAAAAACUAAAGCGAGGAACAUUUCAACACAAGCCGAACGACACCAAACUAUUAGUUGAUUUCAAGCCAAUAUUAAAUUUCAGCAAAACAAAACUGGACCGAAGAGUGACUACAACGGUCAAGGUUGUCGAGUCUCAUUAGAGUACAGCUAGAAAUUGAACCGAAAUUCUGACUGGUUCUGGCUAUUUCGGAGUAUUCCGGCUCCAAGUAACAUAACCGAUUCUAAUUAACAUCACUGAUGCUACUGGAGCCGGAAUAGUAUAGAUCCAGCCAGAAUUCCGACUCAUUUUCCGGCUGGACUUACUGGGAUGGCUCGUCCGAAUUUUCUCCCAAAAAGAAAGGGGAAUUUUAUGCCCUAUUCAUAAGAUUGCCGAGUUUUGUUCGAUUUUUGACACUAGCCGUCACUCUUCUUACAUACACUGUGGCCGAUACCACUGUAUCACCGGAAAGGCUUACCAACGGUUUAUGGUGCUACGUGGAUACUCAUAUUUGCAAUCGUUCAACGUGGACUGGCAGGCGGUGUCGCAACUUUGCUUUCUAAUUAAAAGCAGGAAUUACUUCACUUGGUAUUCAAUAGUAACGAGGAAUUCUUUGGUCCGGUAUUGUACAUGGUGCUUGGCAAUGAACUGUUAAAUACCAUUUGCAGCGAUGUUGACAAAGCAAACGACCGGAAUGGGGGUGCAACCUUUAGCGAAAGUUAAUGAGGCUGCAUUCUGUUUGGUCUUUCACAGAUAUUCAAUUAAAAUGUUCCAGCUCUAAUUUGCAGCUACGCAUUUCGAUAUCUAGGGUCAGAUGCAUUGAAUGUGGUCGACAUACAUAGUGUCACAUGCUAGCGGCAAUAGGAGCACGAUGUACUGCCGCUAUACGCAUAAAUGUCCCAUGUGCUAUGAGAUUCCAUAUCCACAUGGGACAAUUAUGCGUAGAGCGGCAGUGUAGCAGUUGUGAUUAUGGUGCACAAUAAAACUUGGUUUGUGGAUGCCACAGUAGCGACAUAUGUAUGUAGGAUUGUCCAAGAGCCGCGAGAUGAUCUCAAGAUCCAACAUUGUAAACGGUGAUGGCCCACUCUGAAAACCCGUGCUGGAAUGGUACUCAUACGGUCUUCGGAAUGUGAUCGUCUUGGAUUUCUUGUCUGCAAGGCAGAUUAGGAUGUUGUGCUAUUGUGCAGAUAACCAUAUUUAGUUAAAACUUUCUCAAGGAACUGAAAAUUUGUAACAUGAUACAGAGCACGGACUUGAAGAAAUUGUAACAACAGAAGGAUGAAACCGGCAAAUUAGAUGAGUCAAACAAAAAACGCCAUCACAUGCUAAAGAAACAAGCGGAGUCGCUGAUGGUAACUGACGUGUGGUAUACCUGCGUUAGUGCAGGUACUACAACGCAUUUAGUUCAGCUCAAUUGACGAAUCGUCAGUCAACGGAGCUUCAGUGUACGCUUCCUGUCAAACUUGGGGUCAUAGUUUAUGAAUAGAAUCAGUAUGGCUAACACAAGUCCGUUAAUUUAGUUCUAGAUACUAUUACAUCAGCAGCAACAUUCUAAAAUAAAGAAUAAAUUGUAAGACAUAUUCAUACAAUACACGAGUCGACUAGCGAUAAGAAAGUACUUCAGCGCUGCGAAUAGCGCCUCCAUUUUAUUUUCAUGCAACUCGACCAUUUUUUUUUAAUUGCAUCAAGAUUACCAAUAUUUUAAAUAAGAUUUAUAAAUAUUUUCAAAUGCAUAAGGAAUGACGAGUUUUAUAGCAAUACGUAACGAAUUUUAUAUAACUGACGAAUCGAAGUUCAUAAAGUUGCAACAUCAAGAAAACCAUAAGACAUACUAAUGAAUCCAUAAGCUUAUUCGUUGCGGCAAAAAAAUGAAUCUCGCUAGUACAAUUUUCAAGUUAACUACUGUUCAUUAUUCAAAUCCACUCAAAUAAAAUAAGGUUGAAAAAAUCUUACCAAUAAAAAUUACAAUUCUAGGCGCACAAUUUAUAAUUAAGAGUAAAUAUGUAUUUUAUAUUUAGUUAUUGCAAUAAAAGAUUUAAAUAAAACGAAGUAAA